rnacentral:rRNA from 1 species
AACGAACGCUGGCGGCGUGGGUAAGACAUGCAAGUCGAACGAAGAAUCUCAAUAGCUUGCUAAUGAGAUUUUUAGUGGCGGACGGGUUAGUAACACGUGAGAUACCUACCCUUUAGACAGGAAUAGCCCAUGGAAACGUGGAAUAAUACCUGAUAGUCUCUACGGAGUAAAUGAUGCCUUCUGGUGUCGCUAAAGGAUGGGCUCGCGGCCUAUCAGUUUGUUGGUGAGGUAAAGGCUCACCAAGACUACGACGGGUAGCUGGUCUGAGAGGACGAUCAGCAACACUGGAACUGAGACACGGUCCAGACACCUACGGGUGGCAGCAGUCGAGAAUCAUUCACAAUGGAGGAAACUCUGAUGGUGCAACGCCGCGUGGAGGAUGACGGCCCUAGGGUUGUAAACUCCUGUCAUUGGGGAGUGAGACUUAUGCGUUAAGAGCGUGUAAGUUUGAUAGUACCCAAAGAGGAAGGGACGGCUAACUUCGUGCCAGCAGCCGCGGUAAUACGAAGGUCCCAAGCGUUGUUCGGAAUAACUGGGCGUAAAGCGUGUGUAGGCUGCGCGGAAAGUCAAAUGUGAAAGCCAAGGGCUCAACCCUUGAACUGCAUUCGAUACUCCCGUGCUAGAGUAAUGGAGAGGUAAGUGGAAUUCCUGGUGUAGCAGUGAAAUGCGUGGAUAUCAGGAGGAACAUCAAUGGCGAAGGCAACUUACUGGACAUUUACUGACGCUCAGACACGAAGGCUAGGGGAGCGAAAGGGAUUAGAUACCCCUGUAGUCCUAGCAGUAAACGGUGCUCGCUUGGU